GGGGGCGACAGGCUUCGACAGGGGCUUGUAUUGAUCUUUGGAUGCACGUCGGGCUUGCUUGUUAGCUCGUUAAAACACCAAGCAAAAAACAAACGCCAACCAAGAAUUGGCUCUUGCUGCCUAGUUAAUUCUAGCCACAAGUGUUUCGCCGGAAGUCAGCUUGAAGCGACCGAACGAAGCAUAACUCAGUUCAAGCUGGUUUGCGCCGACCGUCUGCGGGCGCGAACGAGAUUUUAGUCAGACUAGCUUUUGACGAGUUCUUGUCGGUUUACUACUUGUCAAAAGCGAAAAAAAAGUGAACUCGACUAAGCGUGUAGAUUCCCCUGAUCGCAACCUUUGGAUGCGGGUUCGAUUCCCGCCGCCUCCACCA
rnacentral:tmRNA from 1 species